GGGAAACUGAUCACAGUAUUACGUUUGUGUUUCAUUUAAUGUAUUAAGCAAAUCCUCUCAUAAGCAAGAGUGGAGUCCCUGCUUUUUCAGAGCUAACCCUGAUAUCUUGGUCAUGUUGCAAAUCCUGUGCCGUGUUCUGCUUCCCAUCAGGAACAAGGAUGUCUCCAUCAAUGCAAAGGUAGAGGACACCUGUCUCUCCACCACAUCAGAUGAGGAUGCUCUUCAGGGGAAGAUGAUCAGUAUCUUCAGUUGCAAGAUCUACACUUCUCAUCUUGGGAUCACGGUACAUUGUUUUGCCUUGCAAGGAUGCUAUUGGCCUUGGGUCCUUCUUGCAAGACCUCCUACCACAAAUAAAGACCCAGCAUAAGAAAUAUUUUCAUAACAAAUAUACGUAAGCUGCCUGAUUGCAGGGGGAAAAAGGCUCAGAGUGAUAUUGUCACUGAAAAUUAUUACAGCAAGUAUUUGAAAUGUUCCAAAGGGUAAACAAUAGCCUGGGACAAAUUAACUCUUAUACCAACUUUCUAAGCAUCUAAGCUCACCAUUAUCAGGGCAGGCUCCCUGUUCAAUUUAUAUACUACCCUUUAUCAAAAAAUCUCAGGACAGUGUACAACAUUAAAAACAUACUACAUCAGAACAUCAAUGAUAAAAACAUAAUAAAAGCACAAUGACAGCCAAAUAAGCCUAAUAGUCCUCUCUCACACACUUUCACAGGCCAUAUAUUAUUUCAUAGCUAUAAGGCCUGAGUAAAGAGGAAUGUUUUUGCCUGGUGGCUAAAUAAUAGUAAGAGUAAGAGUAAUAGUAGUAAUACGUUAUUGUUCAUAUGCCGCCGAUCUGACUGGGUUUCCCCAGCCACUCUGGACAGCUUCCAACAAAUUAAAACACAAUACAACAUCAAACAUUAAGAACUUCCCUCAACAGAGCUGCCUUCAGAUGUCUUCUGAAAGUCAGAUAGUUGUUUAUUUCCUUGACAUCUGAUGGGAGCCCAGGAUGCUUUCCUUUUCUUCACAGAUGCCUGUACAGCAGCCUCCUAGCUAUCGCUGAGCCAUUCAUCAGAGAUGCCGUGGGGGGAAAGGUAGGACCCUUCUAACUCUAGGUUUCUAUGACAACCUUGUAUGCAGAAACUGGGCCUGCCUGGCUGCUCUGGCUUUUGAAUUGUACCCGCAUAAUGGGAGACUUUGUCUAUGGCCAUCAGGAGAUGGUAACCCAGUUUUCAGCUUUAAAACAGGUUCACCAAAAGGCUUUGAGGCAGGUGAAGUACAGAGCGCUCCCUGGUCCUACCCCUGACUUCCACCCACAUGAGAUGCGAAGGGGCUCUUGGGGGGGGGGCUUUCUGUGUAUUCCCUACACUAGCAGGUGCCCAGCGCACUUUCUGCUGCAUGUGUGGAGGUCAGGGAUGGGGUCAGAAGGAGCAACCUCACUCCCCACAAACACACAUCUGACCUCUUCAAACUGUUGCAGCUGCCACAUAAUAGUAAUAAUAAUAAUUUAUUAUUUAUACCCCGCCCAUCGGGCUGAGUUUCCCCAGCCACUCUGGGAGGCUUCCAACAGAAUAUUAAAAUACAAUAGUCUAUUAAACAUUAAAAGCUUCCCUAAACAGGGUUGUCAUCAGAUGUCUUGUAAAAGUCUCAUAGUUGUUGUUCUCUUUGACAUCUGGUGGGAGGGCGUUCCACAGGGCGGGGGCCGCUACUGAGAAGGCCCUCUUCCUGGUUCCCUGUAACUUGGCUUCUUUCAGUGAGGGAACCACCAGAAGGCCCUCGGUGCUGGACCUCAGUGUCCGGGCAGAUCGAUGGAAGUGGAGAUGCUCCUUCAGAUAUACUGGACCGAGGCCAUUUAGGGCUUUUUAAAGGUCAGCACCAACACUGAAUUGUGCUCAGAAACGUACUGGGAGCCAAUGUAGGUCUUUCAAGACCUGUGUUAUAUGGUCUCGGCGGCCGCUCCCAGUUACCAGUCUAGUUGCCGCAUUCUGGAUUAGUUGUAGUUUCUGGGUCACCUUCAAAGGUAGCCCCAUGUAGAGCGCAUUGCAGUAGUCCAAGCGGGAGAUAACCAGAGCAUGCACCACUCUGGCAAGACAGUCUGGGGCAGGUAGGGUCUCAGCCUGCGUACCAGAUGGAGCUGGUAAACAGCUGCCCUGGACAUAUACUUCAAAAGUAUGGGGCAGGGGGCAUGUAGCUUGUCCAACCAAUCUCUCAGCUCCUGUUUGGCCACACAGUGCCCCAGCAGUGCCUUUAACCCUUGUCUUUCCUGUGUAUGUGUGCAUUAAAGAGUUUGGCAGAAACUGGAGGAGUUCUUCACCCAGCAGAAAGGGCCAGGACACCGACCAAGCAGAUUCCCCAGUGUUAAAGCGUUUGCCAGCACAAAAUCGCAGACAUCCUAUUCUGGUGCGGGAAAAGGUCAGUGAUCCCAUGUUAUUUUCUCUGGAAUAACAUAUCCCCACAUACAAACCUGUUUGGGCUCUGAGAUCUUCAGGGGAGAGCCUUCUCUUGGUCAUCUUCACAAGCAUUGUUGCUGGGGAUGUGGGAGAGGUCCUUCUCAGUAGCAACCUGGGGCUCCCAGACAAUUUUGGAACUCCCUCCCUGGAGAAGAAUAUACUGGCUUGCUCCUUGCUCCCCUUCUGCCCACAAGUGAAGACCUUGUUCCCACAAGAGCCCACAGGGCAGCAUUCCAGGGUUAGUCUGAGCAAGGCAGAAUAGAGUGGGACUACAGGCUGGCGGGACGCGGGUGGCGCUGUGGGUUAAACCACAGAGCCUAGGACUUGCCGAUCAGAAGGUCGGCGGUUUGAAUCCCCGCAACAGGGUGAGCUCCUGUUGCUCGGUCCCUGCUCCUGCCCACCUAGCAGUUCGAAAGCACAUCAAAGUGCAAGUAGAUAAAUAGGUACCGCUCCGGCGGGAAGGUAAACGGCGUUUCCGUGCGCUGCUCUGGUUUGCCAGAAGCGGCUUAGUCAUGCUGGCCACAUGACCCGGAAGCUGUACGCUGGCUCCCUCGGCCAGUAAAGCGAGAUGAGCGCCGCAACCCCAGAGUCGGCCACGACUGGACCUAACGGUCAGGGGUCCCUUUACCUUUACCUUUUGCAGGCUGGCAGACAGCAGUCCUGAACACUCUUCAGAAACUGGGUUUUGCCCCUCAAGCCCUUCUAAGUCUGGGCUUGGGCCAAGCAAAAGCUAUGGUUAGGCAAAGAAUUAUAGACACCAAGAGACAACAGGACUGCUCAAGGUUCCCCGACUACAAAAUUGUAGAAAUCGAGAGAUACAUAGCUGCUCCAGCAGCCUAUCUCUUUUUUCUUGUAUCCAAAAAUGCAAGAAGGGCAGGUUUUUAUGUGUUUAUACGCCUAUCGCACUUUUAAACUUAAAAUCCAUUGUUGUAUAUUGUUUUAAAUGUUCAUUUUGCUAUUGGGAUUGUAGUUCCAUUUGUGUUUCACAAGCUGGUCUCUGACCAUAAUAAAUUUCAUGCCAUGAGUGGGACUAUAGAACUUCCCUUGAUCUGAACACAAGACUUCUGUUGAUGCAGCCUAGAAUAGCCUUAGCUCUUUUUGCUGCUGCAUCACACUGUUGGCUCAUGUUCAGCUUAUGGUCCACCAAGACCCCUAGAUCCUUUCCACAUGUACUGCUGGCAAGCCAGGUGCCCCCCCAUUCUAUACAGAAGAUGCCAACCAAAGAUGGGGCAGCCGGUACAUGUUGCACUGCAUGAGAACAUGAUACAAAUCCCAUGGACAGGACAGAGAGAAGUGUAUUGGGAAUGUUGCCAGAGAGAGCAGAGAGCACAAUAAACCAGAAGACCUAAUCCUGCAUCUUAUUGACUGGGUCUCUCUCUCUGUUUGCAGAUCAAAGCUGGAAGUAGAAGCAAGGGGAAAGUGUGAACUUCAGCGCCAGUGGAAAACCCAACACUGUUGAGAAAUCUGUGUAAUGAGGCAAUGUACAUUUGCUUUGGGCUUUUCUCUCGUAUUGCUCUAUUUGUGGAAGUCGUGGUGAAGUAGAGACAGUGCGGUGUAGUGGUCACAGCACUGGCCUAGCACCUGGGAGAGAGCAGUUUUCAGAUUCUCCCACUUGGCCAUGAAGAUUACUGGGUGUGACCUUUGGGCCAUUCUCCAGUGCUCAGCUGAACCUACCUCACAGGGUGGUUGAGAGCAUAGGGGAGAACAAUAUAUGCCACCUUGAGCUCCUUGGGGGAAGGUGGGAUAUAACUAGUAAUAAAUAAAUAAUAGUAAGUAGUAUAAUUGGGGGGGGGGGGAGAGCACGGAAGAUACUGUAAAUCCAAUAAUAACCCUAAGAAGCUGCCCCCAUGCAUGUGCAGGUUUUGCUCCUGCUUUUUGGAAGAUUCCCUAGUUACAUAAAGUUGUUCAAAAACAGUAGUUCCCAAACUUUUGGGCCCCCGCCUUCUUGGUUCCAAAACCCCACCCCCUGGAUCCACUAAGUUACCCUAUAAAAUGCAUUGUUCACAAUAGUGGUUUGCACAACCAAGUAAGGACGAUAGUAACUCAAUAAAGUUAAAUAAAAACAGUAAAAAUUAAUUACACAUCUAUUCAAAAUCAAGUGAAAACUCUUGUUUUAGAAAGCCGAUAAACUUAAUCCCACCAAGGCCCCCACUUUGGGAACCACUGUUAACGCUGUGCUUUAAUGUUGCAGACCUUGCAAUGAAGGGCAGGUAAAUGAAGAGGAACAAAAAGAACUUUGAGGUCCAUCUUGGGAGUCCAUCGCAACCCACACCCACCUUAAAUUGGCUCUGGUUCUGCCAGCAGUUGCCCUCCCUGGCUGUGCAACCCACUUGCCCCAAGUUCUGCCUUCUGGAAGGAUGUUUGUCCAUAUUAUCCCAGCAAGGAACAAAUCCCCUUACCAGUCACAGGUACAGUGGGGGGGGGGAGUAUUUGAUCUCCUGCUAAAUUUGCCCGUUUGCCCUCUGACGAAGAAAUGACCAGUCCAUAAUUGUAAAGGUAGGUUUAUUGUAGCUGUGAGAGAGAGAAUCACAACAGCAGAAACCCAGAAGACAAAAGUCAGAGAUUGAUGUCAGGCUACCUGGUAUCUUCACUGUAUAUAACGAGCUGAGAUUAGAAGCACCUGCUGUACGGGAGAGUUCUUACCUGUAAUCCCAGCUCGUUACAGUACCUGUACAAAAGACACCUGAUGACAGAAGCAAUCAAUCCAGCAGAUUCCAAAGUAGCCACCAUGACCAAGAACAAAGAGCUGUCCAAGGAUGUCAGGGACAAGAUUGUAGACCUGCCCAAGGCUGGACUGGGCUACAAGACAAUUGCCAAGCAGCUGGGUGAGAAGGUGACAACAGUUGGUGCAAUAAAUCACAAAUGGAAGAAACACAAAAUAACUGUCAACCUCCCUCGGUCUGGGGCUCCAUGCAAGAUCUCAUCUCGUGGAGUUGCAAUGAUCAUGAGAACGGUGACGAAGCAGCCCAGAACUGCACGGGGGGAACUUGUCAAUGAUCUCAGGGCAGCUGGGACUAUAAAAGGUAAAGGGACCCCUGACCAUUAGGUCCAGUCGUGGCCGAUUCUGGGGUUGCAGCGCUCAUCUUGCUUUACUGGCCGAGGGAGCCAGCAUACAGCUUCCGGGUCAUGUUUGCCAGCAUCACUAAGCCGCUUCUGGCGAACCAGAGCAGCGCACGAAAACACUGUUUACCUUCCCGCCGGAGCGGUACCUAUUUAUCUACUUGCACUUUGACAUGCUUUCGAACUGCUAGGUUGGCAGGAGCAAGGACCGAGCAACAGGAGCUCACCCCGUCGGGGGGAUUCGAACCACCAACCUUCUGAUCAGCAAGUCCUAGGCUCUGUGGUUUAACCCACAGCGCCACCCGCGUCCCCAGCUGGGACCAUAAUCACCAUGAAAACAGUUGAUAACACACUAUGCCUUGAAGGACUGAGAUCUUGCAGAGCCCGCAAGGUCCCCUUGCUCAAGACAGCACAUGUACAGGCCCAUCUGCAGUUUGCCAGUGCACAUCUGAAUGACCCAGAGGAGAACUGGGUGAAAGUGUUGUGGUCAGAUGAGACCAAAAUCGAGCUCUUUGGCAUCAACUGAACUCGCUGUGUUUGGAGGAGGAAUGCUGCCCAAGACCCCAAGAACACCACCCCCACCAUCAAACAUGGAGGGGGACAUAUUAUGCUUUGGGCGUUUUUUUCUGCUAAGGGGACAGGACACCUUCACCGCAUCGAAGGGACAACGGAUGGGAUCGUGUAUCGUCAGUUCUUGGGUGAGCGCCUCCUUCCCUCAGCCAGGGCAUUGAAAAUGGGUAUUCCGGCAUGACAAUGAGCCAAAACACACAGCCAAGGCACAAAGGAGUGGCUCAAGAAGAAGCCCAUUAAGGUCCUGGAGUGGCCUAGCCAGUCUCCAGACCUAAAUCCCAUCAAAAAUAUGGUGGGAGCUGAAGGUUCGAGUAGCUACACAUCAGCCUCGAAAUCUUACCGACUUGGAGAGGAUUUGCAAAGAGGGGUGGGGCAAAAUACCUCCUGAGAUGUGUGCAAACCUGGUGGCCACCUACAAGAAACGUCUGACCUCUGUAAUUGCCAACAAGGGUUUUGCCACCCACCACGUACUAAGUCAUCUUUUGCAAAGGGAUCAAAUACUUAUUUCACUCAUUAUAAUGCACACCAAUCUGACUUUUUUCUUCUAGCUUUUACGUUGUUUUCCUGUUGUUAUUCCGUCUCUCGCAGCUACACUAAACCUACAAUUACAAUUAUGGACUGGUCAUUUCUUCGUCAGAGGGCAAAUGGGCAAAUUUAGCAGAGGAUCAAAUGCUUUCCCCCCUCACUGUAAUUGGUCACUAAUGCGAAGGCUUUGAAAGGGGCUCUGCAGCCAUUUAGGGAAAGUCAUUUGGGUCAUGGGACCCCCCCCCUCCGCUGUUGCCAAGGAUGCUCUGCUCUGGCAAAUCUGCAUAGCAGUUUCACAUAAAAAGGAAGCCUAAAUCUUGCACAGGGCAAUCUCAUCACUUCUGGGGAGAAGAGAGACUGCUACUGUUCCUAAUCUGGGCAUCCUGACUCCAUUAACCAUCCCCAUUCUCAUUCUUUACUUUCUAUAUAACAACCAAUUUAAUAAUUUACCCAUACUUGAGGUUACAUUGGAUAACUCAUAACUGAUGCGCUUCAAACAACAAAAGCAAGAAGGAUGCAGCCACCAGUCCCUCGGGUGUCACCCAGCCACUCGAAAUUCACUCUUCUAUCACUUUUUAAAAAUUAAAUUAUUUCAAGUAUAUAACAACAACAUGCAUAUAUGGAACGCGUUUCCAGUCUUGUUUGUUUUGAUAUUUAAGGCCCUUGUCCAAGGCAGGUUCAUGUUAUUGUGAAAAUGGAUAUAAAGGGAAUUUUCUUCUCUUCUGAUGAGAUUGUUGGAAGAUUCAGGGUGGGUAAGAGGAAAGGCCUUCAUGCACCACGUAGGUGCAUGAAGGUGCAUAAACUGUGGAACUCCCUUCCACAGCAGGCAGUUGUGGCCACCAAGUUGCACAGCUUUAAAAGAGGACUGGACAGAUUCAUGGGAGAGGAGAGGGCUAUGAGUGGCUAUGCUAAACCAGGGAUGGGGGGCAGUUAAACGAUUCCCCAAAAGUCCCACAUCCCCACCACAGCCUCUAACUAAGGCCAGGAAAUGACCAUUUACACAAGCACCAUACAUAGAUAUCAGCAAAGCGGCUCAAAAGCAGUCUAUAAAAUUGGAGCAAUAAGCAAAUAUUGUACUAUUUCCUCUGCCUAUCCAAUAUAGAAAACUGUAGAAACUUCAAAUAUUUGCCAAAAUUCUGCGGUUUGAUGGAUUUCCUUGGUUCCAGCGGCUAAUGACUCCUCUGCAAGAGGGGAAUCCAGGGCUCCCCCUGACUCCAUAGUCCCUUAAGGAUAAGGUCACAUACUCCUUUCCCCUCCACAAGGUGUGAACUUAGCCACACAAUAGGAGGCAGGAGGCAGUCAAGGGCAGCACUUACUCCAGACAGAAGUCCAUUGGGAUGGUAGAUUGAAUCCUGAUACUUUCAAAGGAGAAGCAGAGGAAAGCCUUGCAGCUAGUGGGAUGUGUAAAUGCUUUUAUUCUUGGGAAGCAGGUACUUAAAAGGGGUCAGGAACAAGGAUGAUGAACGGGUGGGUGAUGGGCUCAUUGUUCUACAUGCCAAACACUCCUGCUUUGUGACGUAUUGGUGAUGCUGUUGAAAGAUGUAUUAUGGGAAAUGGGGGGAGGUCUUAAAAGUUCGCGGAUUAUUAUUUGAUAUGUUAAUUGGAUGUUUUUUAUUGGAAAAUUAAUAAAAACGAUUUAACAAAACAAAAAGGUUCGCGCAACCCCAUACUCGGGGUUCCUACUUUCUGUGUUUGAACCUUGCUGCAACAAAUACAGAUCAGGUUUACUGACUGCUGUUUUGUCUCUUUAACUUGGCUGGAGACUCCUUUUGCUGACCGGAGGGACUCGCGGGAAGUGGCACCCCAUGAGCUGGGCAGCAGAGUAAAUCUGCACCCCUGAAUCUUUUCCCUUAUCAGCUGCUAGCCAGGACAGCUGUGCUCUUCCUGCACAGCCAGAAGCAGCAGUGCUUCCAAAUACUCAUUGCUGAGGAGAGGGCUCAUGUGUGUGUUUGUGUCUCACAUUUAGACAAACGACAUGCAACAAUUACGCAAAAUGAGAAUUAAAGCAACGGAAUGUGCUCAGAUAAAUGUUUCUGAAUAUAUUAACAAAGUUGUGUUAAAGUAUAUAUAUAUCAUCAUUAUUACAGAUAUGAAAUGAUGUAUAUCGUGUAUGCUCAAAUUGUUGAGCAUGACUAAAAUGUGUUUUGUAUCAAUAACAAUUUUAAUGUAUAGGGAGAAAGAGGGAAAUGAGGAUAUAUAUACUUCAUGCCCACCAAACUGCUGUAAACUAUGGAUUCUGUUUUGCCAUAUGCCUUGUUGUUCAUGUAAUCAAUAAAAUCACACCAAGCUGCAUAAAAAUGGUUGUUCCUUUUGGCCUCUUGCCACUUUCACUUUUUGCGCCUGUUUAUCCAAUAACUCUGUUUGGCAGCUUGCAUUAUACCAUUGAUCCAUAGUCAGCAAUCAAGAUGCUGGACUGGAAGGGCCAUGGGCCUGAUCCUGCAGGCUCUUCCUGGGUUGUCACCAGAGGGUUGUUAGCUGCGGGUUUCCAAGAGCAUACCAAGGAAGGAAGGGGGUCCUGUGGCUGGAUUUCUCCACAUAGCUAAUUUCUAUCUGAUUUAGACAUUUCAUGUAACUGGUGUUGUAACUAAUCCAUAACAUGGCUCCUUUUAAAAAUUUUCACCUAUGAUCUUUUUCUUUUACUUCUUUAUUUUUUCUGUGUUCUUUUUU